rnacentral:lncRNA from 1 species
CUUCACUAUGGCCUAGUUCAGGGUUCCUCAGUCAACUAUGCGAAGAGAUCUUUUCAGCACCCACAAAACGGAGUUCCUCCCCCCCCCCCCCAGCAAUGAAAACCUAAAGAGAUGUGUUGCAAAUACUGUUUCUCUUUUUCUUUAUAUGUUUUGAGAGACAGCACGUGAGCAAGGGAGGGGCAGAGAGAGAGAGGGAGACGGAGAAUCUCAAGCAGGCUCCUUGCUGUCAGCACGGAGCCCGACUCGGGGCUUGAACUCGCUCACGGGAGAUCAUGACCUGAGUUGGAUGCUUAACCCACUGAACCACCCAGGCGACCCGCAAAUACUGCGUUUCUUUGUUUAAGGGGGUGGCACAUUUUAGCGUGGGUAGGAGGAGAAUUUUCCACGUCCCCCCCCCCCCCCCCGCCUUGCUUGGGGUAUCGCAGGAGGAAAGGAGGGUUGGAGGAGAAUCAUCUUGGUUUGCUUGGGUGACUUGAUAUCAUGACAAGGGAUGGGGGGACGGCCUUCCCCUCCCCGGGCCUUCUCUCCACCCAUGGCCCUGAGGGGUAAAGUGGCUGAAGGUGUGUGUGACCACGCCCGGGUGGUUGAUGGAGCAGGGUGAGGUAUCCCCAGAUAUGAGUAUGAUAUGGGGAGGGGGUUCUCAGUUUGUGAAUUCAAAAGGGACCGCGUGUACGGAGGGGGGAUGGGCUGGGAGGCGUGGAUCCGGUUGCGGACCCCCAGCUGCCCGUGUGUCCGCAGGUGUUGCCCACGCCAUGUCCAGCAAAGAGAAGCAGAGACUGAGUGGCCAGGGAAGCGCCAGCCGUGGUGCCCGCCAAAGAGCCUCCGAGGCCACCCUGGCCUCGAAGCCUGGGGACGCCGCCCUGCCUCCCCAGCCGGAGUCCGACUCCUUCAAGGAGGAGCUUGAGCCAACAUCGGAGGAGCCCGAGGCACAGAAAGAAUUGCCGAAGCCUGAGGCGGAUGUGGUAAGUUAGGGAUUUCCCUGAGCCAACUCUUCCUCCCCGGGAGCCAGCCAGUCCGAGGGUUAGCUGUAAAAUGGAGGACGAGGCGUUCUCUCCAGUCUGUCGCUGGCGUCUACUCCCUCUCCACUGGGAGCCUGCUUGCCACAGAUCCAGCUCGCUGAGUCACGAGAAAGUUCUCCGUGCCCCGCACCCCUCCAGAGGGACGGGGCUUUGCGCGAGGGACAGGGCUCUUCACUUUCCCUUCCUUGUGUCCCCGCCUUUUUUUGUUUGUUGAGUUUUCAAAUGUCUUUAAUUUUUAUUUUUCAGUGUUUGUUUAUCAGAGAGAGAGGGACAGAGGGUGGGAGAGAGCGAGGGAGACACAGGUUCCGAAGCAGGCUUCAGGCUCCGAGCUGUCAGCACAGAGCCCGAUGCGGGGCUUGAACUCGUGAACUAUGAGAUCGUGACCUGAGCUGACGUCAGAUGCUCAACCGACUGAGCCACCCAGGCGCCCCGCCCCUUGUCUCCCCCGCCUUGAAUCAAACCGGGACAGGCUCACCGCGUAAGGCCCAGCUGUGCUCGCUGUGGCUUCGUGCCAAGAACAAGAACUCUCCGGGCCCGGGUGUUAGCAGCCGAGCACUGUGUGCUAUAUCCGUGCUAUUUUUAUUUGUACUUCUUUGAUUUCAAGUGACACUGAACGGUUUUUUCAUAUUUUCAGUUUCUCUUUUUGCGACACGACACGUCCGUUUGUGUCUGUUUAUUUACUGGGGUGGUUGCGUUUUCCUCGUUGGUCCACCCUUGGCUCUACAUGGGAGACAUUUUAGAGCAUGAAGUUUUCUCGACUUGGAAACUUCAGGUGAAGGAGAUUCCUCCUCAUCUUCCAGGAGCACUGGGAGAAGGACAGGGUGACUCCUUGCGUUUGUCCUCAUGUCUUCCGGUUCCUUUAUUUAGAGGAGUUCUCCAGACUUUUUUUUUUUUCUAGUCACCACUUACAAUUUUUUUGCCGUCUAACUCGUGCGUUCUUCGGUGUUUCCCAGUCUUGUCUCUUCCCCUUCGUUCUCCCUCUCUGCUAAUGCUAGUUUGCUUUUUUUUUUUUUUUAAGUUUAUUUACUUUGAAAGAGAGAGAGACAGAGAAUGCACUCACAGGAGGGGCAGAGAAAAAGGGAGAGACAGAGACAGGGUGGAGCCUGACUUGGGGCUCGAACCCACAAACCAUAAGAUGAUGAACUGAGCCGAAAUCAAGAGUCAGACACUUAACCGACUGAGCUGCCCAGGCGCCCCUGCCAGUUGGCUUUGCCUUGACGUCUCCCGUCCGGUGUCCCGGGCCGGCUGCACCCUUCUCCUUUUUCCAGCUCAUCAUCUUGGAGCCUGAUUGCCUGCUUUAGGCUCAUAUCCUACAGGGUCCCUUGAUUGAGUUUUACUCCGAGGUCGAGGAUUGCUGGGCGAGGUGUCUUUGCAACCACAGGCAUAAAGGAGAUAUCUUGGGAAGAUCGUGUCCCCCAUUUUCCUCUGUGGUCCGUUCUAGUUUCACUCGGCGAAGCGAGGGAAUCUCACUGUCUGCUUUCUUCAGAAGCUUGAAACCUGUCAUUCAGCUUAUCUGCAACCUUCCCUUCACCAUCCUGGACCCGUCAGGCUUCUCGCCUCAUGUCCUAUGUCGCCACGUGCGCUUGUGAAUGGGGGAAAGGACGCCUCCUGACGGCUGUACCUGCUUCGACCCUCUGCUCCCCUCCCGUAGAAUCCCCUUUUCCUGUCCCGAGCCGUGCUGACAGGACUGGCGGGUGCGGAAUGGACAGCGGAGCACGAUGCCGUCCUGGAACACUUUGCCCGGGACCCUUCGGAACCCAUCCUCACCAUCUUCAUCGACCCCUGUGUGGGGCUGACGCUGGAGCUGGGCAUGCCUGUACAGGUGGGUGCUCGGCUCUCCCGGACCCCGAGGUGGUCGGCCAGGGAGCUGAGGGUUUGCGUCCCUCCAUCAUCUGAGUCUUACCUCCUGUGCCCAAGGUGUGUUGAGCCUCGUGGUGGGUCCGCUUGACGGUGGAAUACAGAGGCAUGAGGCAGGGUUUUGCUUUCGGCGAUCUCGUGGUCUGGUGGGGGAGACAGACGUAUAGAAACUAUUCACAAUGUGUUAGGAUGCACGGGCGGAGCUUAAUAGGAACUUUAUGGGGACAGUACGGCCAGUGGGAUGCUGGCAAGGCCUGGCGACAGAGGUGACAUUCGAGCUGGAAAAGAAAGGUAAGUCCGAUUUCAUCGCAUCCGGGUGAGAGCUGUGUCGGCAGAGAACGCUUUAUGGGCAAAGAAAAGAGCUGUGGGAGGCGAUCCUGAAAAGGCGGGCUGGGGUCACUUCGCGGAGGGCCUUGUGUUUAUGCUGGAGAAUUUGGCCUCCCUCCCGGAGGGAACUAGCACAGCCUUUCGUGGAUUAGAGAGAGAACGCUUUCAACCGUGUGGAAGACACACGGGCGAGGGGUAAGCCACGGGUAGGGAGACGGUUAAAAGACGGCUAGAGUAGAACGUUAGUGGUGGAAUCUGGGCAUUGCUGUAAACCUCUUGUAACUUUUCUAUAUGUUCGAAGCCUUUGAAAUAAAGUGUUGGAAAAGAGAAAGGCCUUUGCUUUGCUUUUAUUGGCAGCACGUACACAAAACGAUAACGAUAAUGGAGGUGAACAUGGCCGUGCGCCGUGACACAAUUUGGGAAAUGUUCCAGAUCAAACAAAAGCAAAAAUAGCUUGCGGCUUUUUCCUGUACGUUGGCGUCAGGCAGCUACAAAAC